CCUAGAGCUGAGGUGCGGGGAGGGACCUCCCCCGCGCGCCUAGGAUCGGGAAGUCGUCUCCCUGGAGACUGAGCAGAUUGAUGGCCUCUGCCAGGAGGCACAAGGUGAAGACACGGACUCGGAUCUCUGCUCUGCCAGUUCCAGAAGCUAGGACUGACUCAGAUCAAAGGCUCCGUGGGUCCCCGCUAACAUAAGUUGGCCCCUUUCUUACCUCUGAAAUCACAUGCAUGGUCUCCGGCCCCAGCCAGGCAUCCAGCGUCUCCUUCAGAGAUUGGCCAAUCUGGGUCAAGAGAUCAGCUGAGGCCUCCCUCUUCUGCUGGCCAGGUGAGGCAAAGUCUCGAUAGGACUGGGAUGACGAUGAAUGGACGAGGAGAAGGGCCACCAAGACCAUCAGGACAGCUUUGAACAGAUGCCUGCUCCAUGAGGGAUUGCUGUCUGAGCCUGCCAUGCUUGCGACUGUCAAGAGAGGGCCAUGGGGAAGCAAUGAUCCAGACCUGACGGAUACCUUUACUCUCCCUGCUGCUCGGUCAUUCCCUUCACCACCCCUGGUCCACAGCAAGCAUCCUAGACAAACCUAAAAAGGGCUGUGCGCCAAAAAAAGAUGAACCAGGACUUGCACUCUAAGCUGGGCACAACCAUCUGAGUCACAGCGUCCUCUUUUGUAUUCUCCACCGGAUCAAUUCACCGGCAUUUCUAUUCCAGGCCUUACAGUGGCCAAGAUCUAAAAUCUGAAGGCCUGUCUCCACAUCUUAGGCACCAUGGACAAAAACAAAUUCUAAGUCUCUAAAGGCUUCAUCCCAGGAAGCUUAUAAUGUACUGAAGCUAAAGCUGAUAAAAAAACCUUACUUAAAAAUAGCACGUAAGUAGGAUUACCACUGCACACCAAUGCAAAAUAAAGCACUCGGUUAACAGAGCAUACAAGAAUGACGGCAUUUACAACAGUUAUCUCUGCAGGGCCAUUAUGCAAGGUGGUUUUUCUCCCUCGCCCCUGUGGGCAUAGGCAUGAAGAAACAGUCUGCAGAUGAGCACUUGUGCAAGGUCACUGGGCUUAGAGGGAUUUCAGCCCAAGCUUCUGCUUCCAAAUUCUACCCUUGCUGGGGGGUCAAAGUGUUCAGUGGAUCUCAAUUGGGGCUGCUCUGUGCCAUUACCCCAGAGUGGUAUGAAGUGCUAAUGUCUGUGUCCAAGCACACUGGUUCUGAUGGCACUGUCUCUCUGUGAUCUGGUCUUGGAUAUGAGCUCCUCAAUGAUAGACUAUCCAAAGUUGAGAACCAUUCUAAGAAUAUAGGGAAAGGCCAAACUCUGUGUCUCGUAAACUGUCACUCAACAGUCAAGGUAGGACGUCUGUGACUACUUGUGCAAGGUUGUUUUUGUUUUCUGUUCUCAUCCCCAGCAAGCAAGCAAUCCGUUUUGCACUGGACAUCUUCUAAUUCAACUUGAUUUUGAUACUACCUACCUGGAGGCAGGGUCACAUUCUUUUGCCUAUUUGGAAGUGGGAAGUUGAAGUCAUUCUAUGUCAAUGGUUAUGAUAUAGUGUGUACACACACACACACACACACACACACACACACACACACACAAGCAGUUUGGUUUUCAUCUAUCCUUUUUGGCUUAGAGCUCACAUAUCUCAUAUAAUUUAAUACAUGGAAAGAACAAAAAAGAUACCUUUUAUAAAAAACAAAAAACAAAACCAUAGCCUUUUAGCCAGCUUCCUGCAACAUCUUCAGGGGAUGAAGAAUGAAAGACAGCCCUUUCAAACAUACAGUUUAUGUUAAUAAGACCAUUUUUAGAGAUCUCCCCCUGACAACCUCAGGAUUAGAGGGGUAAUUACCAGGGGGCCCAGACAUGCCUUUAGAGGGAUGAGACUUUCAUCCUUAACCUCUGAGGAAGGGUGGCUAAUGUUUGCAUUGAUUCCCAUGACCCAUGGUUUGGCUGAACACACCUAUAUAAUGUGACCAAUCUUUGGUGGGUUAUCCUUUCCAAGAUUAUUUCCUGUUCUUUUGCCCACUGAUAUAUUACUAAUAUCUGGAGAGAAGCUGCACCAUAAUGAUUAAAAUGUUAACUGUUGCUGGGGGUAGGCAGCUCAGUGACAGAUGGCUUGCCUAGCACGUGCAUGGCCUUGGGUUUAAUCCCUAAAACAGGUAGAUAGAUAACUGCUAAAUAAUCUUUAUAUUUAUAGAAUCCAUAACUUCUGGUGACUUUUGGAUUACAUCAGGAUGUGUGAUAUCCUUUCUUGUUCUUUAAUUCUAUGCUUCAACUAAUACAAAACAUGUCAAUAAAUGACUAUGAAAUCUAACUUACAGAUAAGUAAUGUCUGUCUAAGAACUAUAGGAACUUGCCCCAGGAGGUUGAAGUCAAGGUCUAUCAUGAUGUUCUAGCCAGAAGGAAAAAAAAAAGGUGGAGCUGCAUGCCCUGGAUGAGAAGACCCCACUCAACAUGUAGCACCCCCAUCCCCACCAUAUUUCACUGUACAAAACCCUUUUAUAUAUCUGCACUCCAUAAGAUAGAGAUUUGAGGCCAACAGCCCCUGUUUUCUCAGAGGCAAGCCCCGAAUGAAUCUGAUUUCCUUCCCACCAGUUCUCUCCCAAGUAUUUGCUUUUGAGCAAUGAGAGGCAGAAACUCUGUUCACAACUUCAGAUGCCAGUCACCAAGUCCUAGUUUAUUUUACCUGGUCUCUGUCUGGAUAUAAGUCAAGGUUCCUACAGCCCCUUUAUCAGGUUCAAUGAAUUGGCUAAAGAGGGUCAAGAGCUCAUGAAAUGUCAUGGAAAUUACUUUAACUAU